rnacentral:misc_RNA from 1 species
UUUCCGUAGGUGAACCUGCGGAAGGAUCAUUACAGAGUUCAUGCCCUCACGGGUAGAUCUCCCACCCUUGAAUAUUAUACCUUCGUUGCUUUGGCAGGCCGUGGAAACACCAGAGGCUCCGGCUGAUGCGUGCCUGCCAGAGGAAACAAACCCUGUUUUCAGUGAUGUCUGAGUACUAUAUAAUAGUUAAAACUUUCAACAACGGAUCUCUUGGUUCUG